rnacentral:rRNA from 1 species
AUAGGGUCAAGUGAAUAAGUGCAUCAGGCGGAUGCCUUGGCGAUGAUAGGCGACGAAGGACGUGUAAGCCUGCGAAAAGCGCGGGGGAGCUGGCAAUAAAGCUAUGAUUCCGCGAUGUCCGAAUGGGGAAACCCACUGCAUUCUGUGCAGUAUCCUAAGUUGAAUACAUAGGCUUAGAGAAGCGAACCCGGAGAACUGAACCAUCUAAGUACCCGGAGGAAAAGAAAUCAACCGAGAUUCCGCAAGUAGUGGCGAGCGAACGCGGAGGAGCCUGUACGUAAUAACUGUCGAGAUAGAAGAACAAGCUGGGAAGCUUGACCAUAGCGGGUGACAGUCCCGUAUUCGAAAUCUCAACAGCGGUACUAAGCGUACGAAAAGUAGGGCGGGACACGUGAAAUCCUGUCUGAAUAUGGGGGGACCAUCCUCCAAGGCUAAAUACUCAUCAUCGACCGAUAGUGAACCAGUACCGUGAGGGAAAGGCGAAAAGAACCCCGGGAGGGGAGUGAAACAGAACCUGAAACCUGAUGCAUACAAACAGUGGGAGCGCCCUAGUGGUGUGACUGCGUACCUUUUGUAUAAUGGGUCAACGACUUACAUUCAGUAGCGAGCUUAACCGGAUAGGGGAGGCGUAGGGAAACCGAGUCUUAAUAGGGCGAUGAGUUGCUGGGUGUAGACCCGAAACCGAGUGAUCUAUCCAUGGCCAGGUUGAAGGUGCCGUAACAGGUACUGGAGGACCGAACCCACGCAUGUUGCAAAAUGCGGGGAUGAGCUGUGGGUAGGGGUGAAAGGCUAAACAAACUCGGAGAUAGCUGGUUCUCCCCGAAAACUAUUUAGGUAGUGCCUCGAGCAAGACACUGAUGGGGGUAAAGCACUGUUAUGGCUAGGGGGUUAUUGCAACUUACCAACCCAUGGCAAACUCAGAAUACCAUCAAGUGGUUCCUCGGGAGACAGACAGCGGGUGCUAACGUCCGUUGUCAAGAGGGAAACAACCCAGACCGCCGGCUAAGGUCCCAAAUGAUAGAUUAAGUGGUAAACGAAGUGGGAAGGCACAGACAGCCAGGAUGUUGGCUUAGAAGCAGCCAUCAUUUAAAGAAAGCGUAAUAGCUCACUGGUCGAGUCGUCCUGCGCGGAAGAUGUAACGGGGCUCAAAUCUAUAACCGAAGCUGCGGAUGCCGGUUUACCGGCAUGGUAGGGGAGCGUUCUGUAGGCUGAUGAAGGUGCAUUGUAAAGUGUGCUGGAGGUAUCAGAAGUGCGAAUGUUGACAUGAGUAGCGAUAAAGCGGGUGAAAAGCCCGCUCGCCGAAAGCCCAAGGUUUCCUACGCAACGUUCAUCGGCGUAGGGUAAGUCGGCCCCUAAGGCGAGGCAGAAAUGCGUAGUCGAUGGGAAACAGGUUAAUAUUCCUGUACUUGAUUCAAAUGCGAUGUGGGGACGGAGAAGGUUAGGUUGGCAAGCUGUUGGAAUAGCUUGUUUAAGCCGGUAGGUGGAAGACUUAGGCAAAUCCGGGUUUUCUUAACACCGAGAAGUGAUGACGAGUGUCUACGGACACGAAGCAACCGAUACCACGCUUCCAGGAAAAGCCACUAAGCUUCAGUUUGAAUCGAACCGUACCGCAAACCGACACAGGUGGGCAGGAUGAGAAUUCUAAGGCGCUUGAGAGAACUCGGGAGAAGGAACUCGGCAAAUUGAUACCGUAACUUCGGGAGAAGGUAUGCCCUCUAAGGUUAAGGACUUGCUCCGUAAGCCCCGGAGGGUCGCAGAGAAUAGGUGGCUGCGACUGUUUAUUAAAAACACAGCACUCUGCCAACACGAAAGUGGACGUAUAGGGUGUGACGCCUGCCCGGUGCCGGAAGGUUAAUUGAAGAUGUGCAAGCAUCGGAUCGAAGCCCCGGUAAACGGCGGCCGUAACUAUAACGGUCCUAAGGUAGCGAAAUUCCUUGUCGGGUAAGUUCCGACCCGCACGAAUGGCGUAACGAUGGCCACACUGUCUCCUCCCGAGACUCAGCGAAGUUGAAGUGGUUGUGAAGAUGCAAUCUACCCGCUGCUAGACGGAAAGACCCCGUGAACCUUUACUGUAGCUUUGCAUUGGACUUUGAAGUCACUUGUGUAGGAUAGGUGGGAGGCUUGGAAGCAGAGACGCCAGUCUCUGUGGAGUCGUCCUUGAAAUACCACCCUGGUGUUUUUGAGGUUCUAACCCAGACCCGUCAUCCGGGUCGGGGACCGUGCAUGGUAGGCAGUUUGACUGGGGCGGUCUCCUCCCAAAGCGUAACGGAGGAGUUCGAAGGUUACCUAGGUCCGGUCGGAAAUCGGACUGAUAGUGCAAUGGCAAAAGGUAGCUUAACUGCGAGACCGACAAGUCGGGCAGGUGCGAAAGCAGGACAUAGUGAUCCGGUGGUUCUGUAUGGAAGGGCCAUCGCUCAACGGAUAAAAGGUACUCCGGGGAUAACAGGCUGAUUCCGCCCAAGAGUUCAUAUCGACGGCGGAGUUUGGCACCUCGAUGUCGGCUCAUCACAUCCUGGGGCUGUAGUCGGUCCCAAGGGUAUGGCUGUUCGCCAUUUAAAGUGGUACGUGAGCUGGGUUUAAAACGUCGUGAGACAGUUUGGUCUCUAUCUGCAGUGGGCGUUGGAAGUUUGACGGGGGCUGCUCCUAGUACGAGAGGACCGGAGUGGACGAACCUCUGGUGUACCGGUUGUAACGCCAGUUGCAUAGCCGGGUAGCUAAGUUCGGAAGAGAUAAGCGCUGAAAGCAUCUAAGCGCGAAACUCGCCUGAAGAUGAGACUUCCCUUGCGGUUUAACCGCACUAAAGGGUCGUUCGAGACCAGGACGUUGAUAGGUGGGGUGUGGAAGCGCGGUAACGCGUGAAGCUAACCCAUACUAAUUGCCCGUGAGGCUUGACUCUAU